ensembl:lncRNA
UUUGCAGUUUGUACGUGGUUUGGAAUUUGUAUGUGCUUUGGAGUUUGUACGUGUGUUUAAUUGACGAGAAACAGCUAAAGACAAUGCCACGUUGUGAUUUUUGUGGCAAGUCCGUGAGGACACUGAAGGGUUAUGUGCUUCAUUGCAAACUUCAUCGAAAUGAGCCGCGAUGCACAUUUAAGUGUUUUGGAGCCGACUGCAGGCAGACAUUUUGCAAGUAUGGGGCUUUCAAGGCGCAUUUUUAUCGAAAGCACAUUUCUCCCACUCCUGUUACCGACAAGAUUACGCUUAGCACUUUUAAAUGCGCAGUGGCAUUGUGUGAACGUCAGUUUACAGACUCUUUACAGACACUUCUUCUCCUGUCCUAUUUUGAUGAGAGAGAGGAGAAUCUAUUCCAUCAUGUUGAACAAACAUGUCUGGGACACAAGAUUCAAAUGGAAAGCCUGCCAGUAACCAUGUAUCAUUGUGUGCGGAUCUUCUUGCUAUUCUUCAACCCGAUUCAUGCUUGCUGUAGACCAUAAAGUUGUAAAUGACAACAUUCCCACCUUCAUUUCUGCCAUCUGCUUGAUGUUUGGAAGUUACUACUGCCUCAAUAUUCACUAUCCUGUAGACCUUUGCUCAACACUCGAGUUUCUUCAGAGAUGCUGUUUCAACAUCAAUCCAGAAAAGGGCACAAAGGUGAAAACAAAGAAGAACAAGAAGCAACUGUCUGUGAACCCAAGAGUGAUCACUCUUAUUGCAGAUCUUUCAGACCACGAGUGGCGAGAGACAUGUUAAAAAUGGACUUGUGCAAUGUUGUUAAGUCUCAGCUCUCACAUCACCGGCUGUGUGACAUCUUUAUUUUAAUGUAGCAGUUAGCCACUGGUUUUAAAGGUUUUUCUCCUUUUCGUUUCUGAAAUCAGUUCUGUGUUUUUAUAAGAACAGUCUUUUAAUUUUAUUCUGAUUUGCAUCAAUUACAUACGUGGUUUCAGAUGUUUAAAUUUGUGGACAUUUUUCCCUUAAAGUUUAAAACACAACUAACAUACUGAAUAUUUGGAGAAAUUAAUGGAUCUUGAAGCAUUGACAACAAUUCUUACAUUUUAGGUUCAGUAAACUUGAAAUAGGUCAAUGUUUAAUUUUGUUGAAUGUAUAUUAUUCACGGACAAGGUCAAUUUUUUGUAAUUUUUGUAAUUAUCAUUUUUGUUUUUUGACACUGUUAUGAACAAAUUUAUUAAUCUGAGCAAUAAAUAAGAGGUUUAAAAAAAAGAGUAGAAAUUUAUGUGCAUUGUGGUACACAUGAGUCCUAGCACUUUUUCUUCAGAAAACUGAGCAGGUCUGGUUUUUCUGACAGCAGACAGGCCCUUUCUUGGCAUAUGGUGUCCGCCAGCAGUUGAAAGGCAGAGUUGUGUGGGAAAGAGCAGCAUGAAUUAGUGACUUUGUCGCUACAAUUAGUGACUUUUUCUGGUGUUAUUGGAGACUUUUGGAGUGUCUGACAUGAAGCAUCUAUCAUUCUUCUACUUCUACUUCGUCUCUAAUCUUCUCUCCAAGCAGUGGAGCUUCUGUGGGCUCCUCUCCCAUCCCAGAGAGCUGACAGGCGGUCAGUACUCAUGCUGUAGUUGGAGUGGAUGUUUACCUCACUGCAUCCAGUACCAACCUAAUGAGGGUGCAAGGAAAGAACGCCAGAACAUCAGAGACUGGUUUCCAUGUUGAAAGCCCUCUACUAUCAAGUCUGGAUAAAAAGAAACAUUGUCAGACACCACCGCAAGUAUCAAGUGUUAUGAAUUUUAUUUGACUGUUUAUUAAGUACUUUUUUGUUUUUGGUGCUAUUAAGUUUAAUAUUAGUUAGGUUAGGUUAAUGCAUUUGUAGUCGUUGAUUUGAUUAUUUAAUAUUAACAGUUUAAUGUACUCAUCAUUUCUAUUGGUCUUUAUUAAUGUUUCUAUCAAAAUAUAACAAAAAGUGUAAGUACAGGUUAUGCCAAUCAGCAGUCUUAUGUUUAUUACCUCAUUUGUUGGACCUUAAUUUUUUAGGCAGUGUUCUGGCUGCAACAGCUGCACAUAAUUUAAUGUAAAUCUGAACUUUUGAAUUAAAAAAAGG